rnacentral:rRNA from 1 species
CACCUCUAGCAUUACCAGUAUUAGAGGCACUGCCUGCCCAGUGACAUUAGUUAAACGGCCGCGGUAUCCUGACCGUGCAAAGGUAGCAUAAUCAUUUGUUCCUUAAUUAGGGACUUGUAUGAACGGCCCCACGAGGGUUUAACUGUCUCUUACUUUUAAUCAGUGAAAUUGACCUUCCCGUGAAGAGGCGGGAAUACAAAAAUAAGACGAGAAGACCCUAUGGAGCUUAAAUUAAUAUGUUCAACAGAAUUUAAUUAUAAUCCAAUAGAAAUAAAAAUAUUCUAACUGAACAAUAAAUUUUGGUUGGGGUGACCUCGGAGUAUAACAUAACCUCCGAGCAAUUAAACCAAGACUUACCAGUCAAGGCCAUAUAACUUAUUGAUCCAAUCUUAUUGAUCAACGAAACAAGUUACCCUAGGGAUAACAGCGCAAUCCUAUUUAAGAGUUCAUAUCGACAAUAGGGUUUACGACCUCGAUGUUGGAUCAGGACACCCAAAUGGUGCAGCAGCUAUUAAAGGUUCGUUUGUUCAACG